GUAGAGGAAGAAUAGGAGGAAGGAAGGCAAAGAUGGAUGAGGAUCUCCAGAACUUUUGGGAUGAAGAAAAAGGAAGCUGAGUUAGCUGAUAUGGUAUAUUCUGCUGAGAUCACCUGCCAAGGGUGAGGGGCUUGGGCUGAAGAAGCCUUUAGCUAAUCAAAACCUCCUGAAGUUUAAAGAGAUUGGAAUCCAGUUGGCAUGCUAUUAUCGCUUCAUCUCCGACUGAGGCAGCCAUUCAUGGUAACUCUCAGUCUUGAGGAUUCAACUUUGGCAGACAAGGGUCUCACAUUAACAACUGCAUUUUGCUAAAGUCAUGGUACAUGGGAACAAGGAGUUGUUGGCAGUAUGGCCCAAGAAAGACUUCAAGCUCCUUGAAGGAAGGCCACACAUCUCUCCGGUUCACCAGGAUGCCUGGUACGAAUGUUCGAAUAUGUUUAGAUCAUUUAUUCUCAACAAGGGGUGCUUUUGCCACCUAGGGGACAUUUGGCAAUGUCCAGAGACCGUUAUUACUUGUCGCAACGUGGAGGGGCUACUGGCAUCUAUUGGGUAGAGGUCAGGGAUGCUGUUAAACAUCCAACAAUGCACAGGACUGCCCCUUACAACAAAGAAUUAUCCUGCCCCAAAUGUCAAUAGUGCUGAGGUUGAGAGAUGUUGAUUUAGAUAAAUGAAAAAAUGGAUGAAUAAAUGAUUGCAUGUGCUGAACCACCUCCUAGAACAUAACUUGUCAUGCAAACUCUAUCUAGACAUGAGAAGAUUGCAAGCUUUUUCCGAUUCUGGCCCUCAACAUCAUUUCUUCAUGCUGCUCAUUCCUCCUUUUGUGUUUGGGGAGCCUUCUCCCAGCAGAGAUGACUAUGCUUCAUUCACUUCGAUGAUACAACAACUAAAUAGAAAACCAGAGAGAAAUCCAGACAAUCUUUUCUCCAAAGACGAUUGUCCCCCCAUGCUACCUCCACAAAAGGGAUUUUGCUAAAACAAUCUCUUUGACUAGAUCUGAUCAGCCAAAAUGAGAAGAGCCAAUUUCAGCAAGUUUAAAACAUGAUUUGUUCUUGGUACUUUUUAACUUUCCAUCUGUAUUUUUCAUUUUACUCAACUUCUCACCUGCUUUGAAUUUAUUUUAUCUUUCCAAAUUAUUCAUAUUUUUGUGAGCAACACAAUAAUUUCUGGCAUGAGGCAGGGAAUAAACAAAUGAACUAAAUAGCAAAGAGAAGUAUUCCAAUGUAACAUUUCUCAAACAUUUUCAUUUUCUCCACAAGUAUUUCUUGGGCAGGGUUAGGGAAAUUCUUUUUUCUGUUAAGAAUCACUAACCUACUGUAUAAAGUUACAAAUGAAAAUGAAGCAACCAAUAACCAACCUAUGGGGAGGGGAUGGGGAGCGAGACCAAUGGUGGGAGAUAUAGAAUAUAUUUGAUUUGCUUUAAAAUUUUGAGGAAAAAAUAUACAACUUUGACUUAUAAAUACAAAAAUAUAAAGAUGCUUCAAGUACAUAUUAUCAAAGGAAAUCAGAUAAUGCAUAAGAGAAAGAGGCUGAGAGAAAGAGGAAGAGGAAGGGAAAUACAAAGAGAAAUAGUACUCGUGCACAGAAAGAAGAGAAGGUCAGAGGGAUAGAUAAAGGCCAGUGUCUUCUAACCACCGAUUGUCUGCAACCUUCAGCCCCUUGUCUUUCUUCCCCAAAGUUUGACUCUCCUGUCAGGUAAAACAUCCAGAGAGUAUCGAUCCACAUAGAUUUCAUGGUGGGACUUAGGAAAUAUAAAAUGAAAAUAACCAUUUUUCACCUUUUCACUGUUCUAUUAACCAUUUUUUGCCUCAGAAAGCAGGAAGACUAUUCCUUAAUUAUUUGUUCAGCAGUCUCCUUUUGUCCCGCCCUCCCUCCAAAGCCACCAAUAAUCCUCUUUCCCUUUACAGAAUGAACUAGAAUGACACAGGCCUCGGUCUCCUACCACUUACAUUCUCUAAGAGAAAUAAACAAAACACACACACAGAAGCCAACUAAGGGGAAGUCAGGAAAAUUUGUUCAAGUAUAAGCAAAAAAUUUGUAAUUUUCUUUUCGUUGCAAUAUUGCAAUACUCUUCUACAAUUUUCAAUUCUGAGUGGAAAAAUGGUUGGCAAUUUUACACAUACCUCCCUUCACACACACACACACACACAUACAUACUCUCACACUCCAAUAAUUACUUUGUUGGCUGAGCUGACCAACAUUUGAAAUAAUAAGCAUAUUUUUUUUAGUCAUGAAUGAUGGCACUUGGAGGUUAGUUAUCCUGUGUAAAAAUUCCUGGCAGAUUAAUUGCUCUGCCAUUUGACUGUUCAACAUUAAAUAUUUGAUCUCCCAUAAUUUCAAUAUUAAAGCCUUUUCUAAUUUGUUAUGUUUACAUCACGAAAGCAAAAUGUCUUUGACUAACCAAAGACAUGUUUAGCUCUUUCAAGAUUCCAAUAAUAAACAAAUCCAAGAUAAAACAUAAAUUUACCCUACUAUGAGUAUACAAUUGACAAAACAAUUUUGUGAAAGGAUGUUACAGAAAUCAGGCGGUUCUUUGAGGGAAAAGAAUGGUAUUUGUAUCUUAUAAUCAUGGUAUAGGAAAUUUUGAAAUACUUGAAAAGUAUUACUCAUUUUCCUAUGAAAGUAAGGAUGUUUCUUCAUUCCCUUGUUCCUAAUCCUCCCUAAUAACCUAAGAAUGAGUAAACAAUAUCACAGGAAAUCAUCUAGAAAUUUUAUAAGCCACAAUUAUCUGAUUUACAGCUGCGGUUGCUAUCUGUGCCCCCCGUCUCUGAAAAUGUCACGGUGUUUUAGGCUGGUGGAUGGUCCAAGACUUUGUUGGAAAAGGGUCACCCAGGUCCUCAACACUGCUUCCAGACUUUUCUCACUGCUGCUUUAAUUUCCCAUUAGAUGUUCAUUAUAAAUCGAUGUUUCCGAGAGGGCCCUUCUUUCCAAAGUAUUGCCUGUUUCUAAUUGCUAUGAUAUUGAAAUGUCAUUACUAGUAAUUCAUUCACACAUUUCAUACUUAUUGAAUGCUUCCUGGGCACAGGAGAAGACAGAUUACAAUCUCUCCCCUCAAGAGUUUGUAGAUUUGGUGUUUGAACUAAGGCAAUAAUGGAUUUUAAAAGUCCACUAGUAGGGUACAUACUGUAUGAUUCCAACUGCGUGACAUUCUG